rnacentral:misc_RNA from 1 species
GAUGAAGAACGCAGUGAAAUGCGAUAAGUAGUGUGAAUUGCAGAAUUCAGUGAAUCAUCGAAUCUUUGAACGCACAUUGCGCCCCUUGGUAUUCCAUGGGGCAUGCCUGUUCGAGCGUCAUUUCAACCAUCAAGCCCUGCUUGUGUUGGGGUCCUGCGGCUGCCCGCAGGCCCUGAAAACCAGUGGCGGGCUCGCUAGUCACACCGAGCGCAGUAGCACAUCUCGCUCAGGGCGUGCGGCGGGCUCCAGCCGUUAAAGCACCCACCUUUCGCAAGGUUGACCUCGGAUCAGGUAGGAAUACCCGCUGAACUUAAGCAUAUCAAUAAGCGGAGGA